GACGUAGGGCGCGAGCGUUGUCCGGAUUUAUUGGGCGUAAAGAGCUCGUAGGCGGCUUGUUGCGUCGACUGUGAAACCCGCGGCUUAACCGCGGGCUUGCAGUUGAUACGGGCAGGCUAGAGUUCGGUAGGGGAGACUGGAAUUCCUGGUGUAGCGGUGAAAUGCGCAGAUAUCAGGAGGAACACCGGUGGCGAAGGCGGGUCUCUGGGCCGAUACUGACGCUGAGGAGCGAAAGCGUGGGGAGCGAACAGG
rnacentral:rRNA from 1 species